rnacentral:lncRNA from 1 species
AGAGCAGAAGACUGUUGACAAUGAUGAGAAAAUCAGAAUAAAGAGGACAACAGUAUGUACGUCUAUUUUCUUCUUUGGUAUCAACUCUACUUGGCUUCUGGUAAUCGUGUUUGGUACAUUCCUGGCUUUGUUAUAGAUUCAAUAAUAUCGUGGAGAUCCCAGCUUCUUCAAGUCGUCAAGUCAACUAUUCAAAUCAUUGAUCUAUUUUUUCACUUAAGAUAUAUCACGUCUUCAAGUACAUGGAGUUUGCAUGAAUUUAAUUUGUGAUCAAUUGCCUCAAGACUUUAGGGACUGGAAAUACAAUAAAGAGAAGCUUUACUAACUUACUGGCCUUCUAGCGAUAAGUACAAGACCAUUUUAUACGGUAUUCAACACUCUUUUGAGAUAGUUGAUGCUGCAUACAUUUCAUAGAACUUUGAUCUGCAUGGGAAUCACAAAGCAAAAUUUCUGAAUCAUGACGAGGAAUUUGAAGUGAACGAGGCUAAUAGCUAACUUAAUAAGAAGAUGAUGCCAUGCUGACAGUUAACCAGGGAUUGGAGCCUGCAAAAACUGUUUGAUCCAACUAGGUGAAGCACUACAUAGUGACUUCCAUAGGAUGCUUUUCAGUCUAUUGAGGUACCAUCGAGUCUUCCCCAUCUCUCUUCAUUCAGACUGAGGUUGACAUGUUUUAUGGAUGUCAGUAUCUUUUUGGCAGGAGCUAAGCUAUAUAACAAUGUCUUAACAAUUGGAGAUGACUGGUUAAACUGCUUAUGCGGUGCUAUUUUUCAGGGUAGAACUUUGGGUUGUUCCUUUUUCUCUUAUAUUUCUACACUAAAGCUUCAUGAAUGACAUACAGGAGUGUGAUGGGAUAGA